GACGAACGCUGGCGGCGUGCUUAACACAUGCAAGUCGAACGGAAAGGCCCUGCUUUUGUGGGGUGCUCGAGUGGCGAACGGGUGAGUAACACGUGAGUAGCCUGCCCUUGACUUUGGGAUAACUUCAGGAAACUGGGGCUAAUACCGGAUAGGAGCUCCUGCUGCAUGGUGGGGGUUGGAAAGUUUCGGCGGUUGGGGAUGGACGCGCGGCUUAUCAGCUUGUUGGUGGGGUAGUGGCUUACCAAGGCUUUGCCGGGUAGCCGGCCUGAGAGGGUGACCGGCCCCAUUGGGCCUGCGAUACGGCCCAGCCUCCUCCGGGAGGCAGCAGGGGGGAAUUUUGCACAAUGGGCCGAAGCCUGAUCAAGCACCCCCGCGUGCGGGAUGACGGCCUUCGGGUGGUAACCCGUUUUCGCCUGUGACGAAGUGUGAGUGACGGUACUGGGUAAAGAAGCACCGGCUAACUACGUG
rnacentral:rRNA from 1 species